rnacentral:rRNA from 1 species
UACGAAGGGGGCUAGCGUUGCUCGGAAUCACUGGGCGUAAAGGGUGCGUAGGCGGGUCUUUAAGUCAUGGGUGAAAUCCUGGAGCUCAACUCCAGAACUGCCUUUGAUACUGAAGAUCUUGAGUUCGGGAGAGGUGAGUGGAACUGCGAGUGUAGAGGUGAAAUUCGUAGAUAUUCGCAAGAACACCAGUGGCGAAGGCGGCUCACUGGCCCGAUACUGACGCUGAGGCACGAAAGCGUGGGGAGCAAACAGG